rnacentral:rRNA from 1 species
GUGCAGCAGGCGAGAAAACUUCACACUGUGCGAAAGCACGAUGAGGGAAUCCCAAGUGCUUGCACGUAAGUGUAAGCCGUUUCUCUGUCUAAAACGCAGAGAGAGUAAGGGCUGGGUAAGACGGGUGCCAGCCGCCGCGGUAAUACCUGCAGCUCAAGUGGUGACCGUUAUUAUUGGGCCUAAAACGUCCGUAGCCGGUUUAAUAAAUGCCUGGGUAAAUUGUGUAGCUUAACUAUACGAAUUCCGGGUAGACUGUUAAACUUGAGACCGGGAGAAGUUAGAGGUACUCCUGGGGUAGAGGUGAAAUUCUGUAAUCCUAGGGGGACCACCAGUGGCGAAGGCGUCUAACUAGAACGGGUCUGACGGUGAGGGACGAAGCCCUGGGGCGCAAACGGGGAUUAGAUACCCCGGUAGU